CAAAACCCAAGUUAGUUUGGAGCGAUUGCGUGGGAGGCUGUGAGACCACAUCUACUUCCAGCAGCAUAUCACAGGUGCAAUCUCCAAACGACGAUGCAGGGCGGUACGCGCAAUGCAGCAGAACAAUCCAAGUACAAUCCAAGAAAUGUGAUGCGCACGCUCACUGUCUCGCCUUGGUCCUCAGCAAGCAGUGGUGACAUUCCAGCGCUGCUCAAAAUAAACGUGAUAAACGUGAAGGGUCAUUGCAAAACGAAGUGGAGGCACCGAGAAGCAAAGCCAUUCCAGUGGCGAUAGCUCCUAGCAAACACAAGAGCACUUCGCCAUCCGUACCGCGCUCAGAAAAGUUACU